CCUUGAUUUGGACUUCCACACUCCAAAACUGGAAGACUGUGAGAAAAUACAUGUAUGUUGUUUAAAACACACAAGUAAAUCAGUCAUUAUCCUGACCAUGUCAGUAUGUAGCUCCCUUUGCUUUCAUAGAUUUUCACUUGUAUCCCUGACUUUAUUGGAACAAAAGCCUCCUCGCACAUAAGUGUCUCCGUUCACUGGUGCAGCAGACUCCCUGACACAUAGUAGGCACUCAGGAGAUGUUGAAUGAUUGGACAAGUUAAGCCCAUCCCUCUGUGACCAGGCUCACCUAGCUCAUCCCCAAACAUGGCUUUCCUUAGGCACAGUUGUUGCUCUAGACCUCCACACAUUCUUGGCCAGAAAGAUGCUCACACUGAAUGAAUGAAGCCACAUUGUUGCCCUUUGCCUUAGGUCUGAAGUCACCUCUUAGUCACCAAGCCAUGAGCACCCUUAAAAGCCAUAGUCCAGUGGACAUUGACACUGAUAAGCUAUGGAGUAAUCUUCUGUGGUGAUAAAAAGAUAAGGUGGAGGAAAUGGAGUCCUUUCAAUUACUAGGUAACAAACCGCUCUGAAGUGUAACAGCAUAAAACAGAAGCUAUUAUUUCUCCCAGCGGUUGGGUAGUUUCCUGACCAAGGUGACAACACAAAGGGAUGGGGAGAGGUGAGCUGUGGCCAGAAACCACAAGUUAGCAGCAGGACCAGAGCUGCUGCCCCUGGUCAAAGCCCGGCUGUUGGGUACAAAGCUUGAUUUUGCCGCCAAAAAGAUUGGAUGAUUCAUAACAUCCCGGCUCCAGUGGACACUAUGUCCAGAGGCCUCUUCUAGAGGAGACUGGGAUCCGCACUGCAGCCAGGUCACCUGGAGAGGCCGGUGGAGUGGACGAAGCAGGCAAAGGCGGCAACAGAGUAGAGGGUGCUGUCCAGGAGCUUCCGGAGUCUCAGUCCCCACCAGGCGGGGCUGGGAGGCUCCCAGCGGCCGUCUGGCCUGCAGAUGCCACCAUGGAUACAGCAGAUCAAAUGAUGCAAGCAGUUACUGCCCUUUUACAGUUCAAGUGACAUCCAGGCCCGGUGAACGCCAAGACCUCUAGGAGUAGAAGCCAGCGUCUCUACACAGCAGCUGUCGCAGGAAUUCAACAGUGAGCGCCCCACAGCAGGUCUGCUCAGGUUCCCUCUACUCUUGCCCCAACCCCAAGGUGUCUGUGUGUGCGAUCACCACAGCCAGCCCUACGCUCCAUUUUACAAAUGGAGAAACAGAUCCAGAGCAGGGUGUGAGCCCUCCAAUUUCACACCAGCAACUGGUUGACCCCUGAGGAGACUCCAGGCCACCUGACAUGCAGUCACACCUUCCACACCUCUGGUUGUCUCCUUGUUUGGUGGCCUGGUGGGAGGGCAGAAGAGCCAGGGGGCAUGGCUGUUCAGCUUUGAUUGAUAGCAACCAUCAGUAAUCUGUUAGAUAGCCACAAACUAUCAUGGGCUUCACACUGAAACCUCAUAUCAACUCUGGAAGUAAAUUGUCUCAUUUGUCAUAA